rnacentral:lncRNA from 1 species
GGGCUGGAAAGGUCUGGUGUGGUGUACGGUGGACUGGGAUGGGCUGGGGUAGGAUGGCUCUGGAACGCCAGAGUGAGGAGUCAAGGGUGAUGACAGGAAGAGAACAGAAAAGGAAAAGAGGAGGGGGAGUGGAGGAGGACAGGGUAGAGUAGUCAAUCGACAGAGAGGCGGAUUGGAACAACCGCCCCCCAGCCACUCCACCCUGUACAUCCCACUCACCCACCCCCUUUUGUCGGGACGCUCAGCACUUGACAGGCUAUUUUUUGCCACGCUUCACUAAAUAAGGCCAGGCAGCGUCGGGGUGCAGGCGGGCCGGUCAGGGGGGCGCAUGUCUGCCGUUCCUACCUGGGUAUAUAAGCCCCUGGACGGUGGGGGGUUACUCCGAUCACGCUGCCCUUCCAUUCUCUCCCAGAGAUGGUCCGUCGCGUUCUGAAGUCCACCUUUCCACUUUUCAUUUCAAAAUCAAUGCUUAUGUCUUCAUCCACUCCUCCAGAGCAUCGUCAGCUGACAGGCUCCCAGGGAACAGACAGACACUCUGCCUGCAGCAGCCACACCGCACGGGCCGCCGCCCCGCCAGAUCACCCUGAUACCGGACUCUGAAGCUGUCCCACCUCCUCAGACCAUACUGUAGGACUUCACACCAAAAAUGCUUUGCUAAAGCUGGUAAAAUGGAACCAAAUCAACUGUUCAAUGGAUUUGGUCCCCUUCAACCAGCUGUAGCUGUGCAUUGAUCACUCCGGAUCACUGAAGAGUGGGACCAAGAAUGGUUGACAGACACACCAAGACUCCAUCUGACUCACUGACCUGAGAACAGGGCUCACCAGAGGGAAUCUGGCAGAGACACUGUGUCAGGAAUGGACACACUGAUCCAGGAGCAGAAAAGCCCAACUGAACCUUCAGACCACAACUGGGUAGGCUGCAAGUAGGAAUGAAUAUUUUGUACACCAGAAGGGAUAUAGAUUUUUUUGCAAUAAAAAAUAGUCCAGGUAAUUACUUAUUUAGUGAGUCAGCGUUUUUGCCAUAACUAUGUAUUGUAAUGUUUUACAGUCGAUAUUGUUGCUAUCCUUUGUAACUGACUGUACUGGAAGGGAAAGGAGAAGGGGGAUGUGGGGUUGGUAAAUAAGUGAAGCAAACGGUUGUCUCUCUCUCUUUGACUCUUAAUGCAGACGUCUGAUCAAUAAAAACCCAUCCUGAAGUCCA